UCUUUAUCCAGGCAGGACUCCUUAGCUGGCAUCUUCUAUCUUACUUUCUCGCUAGGUCCCUCUGUUAAGUACAGUAACUAGUGAGCACAAGUGGACAAGGCUUACAAGUCAGGCCCGCUCCUCAGAUCCAGCCGUAGGAAAAGGUACCUGUGGGGUGCUUUAAAUCCAUGCCUGAUACAAAAAUAAACCUCAGGUAUUACACAAUGUAUAUAAAGUAGAGAUUCUACAUGACCCAGAAAAAGAUUUAAAGGUAAUUAAUGGAACGUACCUGGGUAUAAUGGACAUAUAUUAACAAUACUCUGAAUUUAUAAUCCUUUUCCAUGUACUGUUAGAUUUAUCUUUGAAAUACCUUGAAAAAGUAAAAAUAAUAGGAAACAUUACUUCACUGGCUCGAUUUUAUAAAUAAAGUAACAGAGACUGGAAGAAAUAUGUGGCAGAUGACACAAUAAAAUGAGCAGAUAAGCAAGCACUAGAUUUGAGGCUUCUUGGAUGCCAGGGCAGAGUUGACUUCUCCAACUCAGGUGAUUACCGAACACAAUGAGUUUUCAAAUUAUGGAGGACUUCUCUUCUGACAAUAUUGCUGAUAGUUCAAGAAAUAACUCAUUCAUUUAUUUAUCUCACACACGCUUAACUGGGGAAAGGGAAUGAAAAGUAUCUGGAGAUGGGGCUGGGGCAGGAGGCCAGAACCUCUAUUGCCCUGAAAGCCACGUUCUUUCAACAUCAGGCCUUUAUCCUGAGGGCAAUGGGAAAUCACAGAAGGGUUUUAUGCAGGGGAAUAUCCUGACCAUUUAACACCAAUCAUUGUGGACCCCGGUGGGACUGACAGUAACAGGCAAAUCUUGGAGCAGGAAAUCCAGUCAGAAUUAUGGCGAUAAAAAGCAUGCGAGAGAAUGGUGGUGGCAGCUGUAAGAAGCAAAGGGGCUGGAUCAUAUCAAAACGUGAGAGCCAAGAUCCUGCCGUCCGGAUUUCUUCUUCUACGAUGACUGAAAAUGUGUUUCCGGUAGGAAAAUCAUCCCCGCUCCUUCCCCAGCCUUCCCUAGUUCCCAGUAGGGCCUGGAACAUUCAGGAAUGACAGAGGAAGCGGACGGCCGGGGUCCCCUGGGUCUUGAUCACAACCACCAAUUGCCCAGACACCCGGAUUCCAGAGCCCGAGAGCCAGCUGAGGCCACUUGCACCACGUCGUGACUUCGCCAGCAACCUGCUGUUCUCGCUAACGAGCUUUCGCCAGUCUCCUCACACUGAGGCCAGGCCUCUCAGCGCGGGCUGCGACCGCCUGGGUAUUUGAUAAAACCCACAGACCGGCGCCCAACAAACGCUCCGCGGGGCUAAAGACCGCGACGAGCCCCGGGCCCGCUUGCCCUCCCACAAGUCCGAGCGCGGCCCGGGGGCAGCCCCGCCCCACCGCCUCCCGCAGCCCUAUUGGCCUGUGCUCCUGCCACUCAAUCGAGCGCCCGCCCCCAGGGUCCGGCCGGGAGGUGGGAUCCGGAGUCUCCCCCGGCGUUGGCGUCUCCUGCUGACGCUUCUGGGCGCUUCCUUGUGCUUACGGUGCUGGUUCCGAUCCCUGCUGACGUUUCACGGCCUACAGCCGACUUGCCUAAACGCUUUCUCUUGGGAUUCUCACCCGUGAGAUGGACACGGCAGGGAUAUGACAGCUUUACAGGCAGGAGAAGUUACGGGUCACAGGUUGAGUGACUCUCCCUAAGAACCGCGUGCUGGGAUUUUAAUAAUGGUUCCUGACAGAACCGUGUUUUGGGCUUGGUAACAUUGGCUCAGUGGUUCAACUGUUGUGAGCUUACUUCCUCAUCUGUGAAAUGGGGGAAAUUAUAGCCACCUUGUGAAACCGGUGUGAAGAAUACAUAAAAUAACAGGAGAAGAAUCUAGCGCCAGGACUGGCCCGUGGUGAGCGCUUUGGACUGUCACAUCCCUCAGUGUCUUCAUGGAAGUGCCCACUAUGGAAGAAUGGCUGAAUGACAUGGUUGGAAUGGAAUGUAGCAGUCAUCUUAUCUAACCACACAGAUAACCUGCCAGGAGAAGAAUGCCUCACUUCCUCAUGAUAAUUUUGAAGACUUUCUGAGGUGAUAAUAUCCAAUUACCUCACAAUCACAAGGUGUACUGCAGUGACUGCAAACUCUGUGUGCCCCAUUCAGCAAGUGUCACAGAACAAGGAAAAAGAAAGAUUGAGAGGGAGGUGGGACCUGGUAGCUGAGAGGAGACCAAGGACUCAAACUGAAGGUUAAAUCCUGUGCAAUGGGAGCAGGGAUUUAUUUCUCUGGAGGACAAAAAAGGACAAUACCUAUAGGGAAAAGCAACAAACAAUUCUCCCUGGAAACCAGAGCCUGGUGAGACCUCAGCAGCUCCUGGGCAGAGUCUGCCACCUCCAUCACUGUGCCCUGUCCAUGUCUUCCUUGCACAAGCACUUCAGCAUGUGCGUGUGAUCACAGGUCACCUAGUGACUGUGUGUGUGCAGGGCUCUCUCAUCUUUGCAUCCUUGGGGCCCAGAACAAAAGCCAUGAAGGUUUUGAAAAGCAGCAUCAGCUCCAAGGGUGCGGUAUUGCUCAACAGAGAAGCUACAGAACAAAAUAGCACAUGAGUUUCUGCGCGGUGUUAGUCCUUUUGGGAAACAAAGUGGAGUCCACAAUGCCCUUGGAGUCUCCAUUGGCCAAAUACAUCAGAAAUGGACCACAGUGUGGAAGAUUUAAUCCCAUCACCAACCCUCCCAAGUCAUGAAAUGAUUCGGCUGCUCUGUCCUCACCCCUGAAUGGUGGAGUAACAUCUCAAGUGGGGGUGAGAAAAAUAAACUUAAAGAGAUAACUGCCUCCUGAAAUCCACCAUUUUCUCCUUCCUGCUGGAGGAAAUAAAACAAACCCAUGGCACAGACUGGGUCAUAUAAUUCUGAGUCAGGGUCAGUCUCAUUGGUCAGGAAGCCAUCUAACUUCACUUUGCUUCAAGCUUUCCAUCUAUAAAAGCAAAGCAUAUGACUUGCUGCCUACUCAUUACCCAGGACUGUGCUGGGAAGAUUUAUGAACAAAGGUUUAGAGAGCUCCUGGAAGGAGUGGAGAAAUCUGAUCACCAUGUAUGUUCAAGAUACAAAUGGAAACAGCCCUCGUCUGGGAAAAUGAAAGAAGUUGUCUCCAAAUCUGAUGACAACUGUGUGCCAUGAGGUUCAGCAGAGGAAAGGUGCAUUGGCAUGGAAGUUGCCAGAAUCAAUGGAGAUGAGAAGAAUGAAGCAGGCACCAGGAUCCAGCAGCUGACCAGCUUUCUGGGGAAGUUGAGCACACUGUUGAGAACAGUCAGAAAUUCAGAAGACUUUUCCCACAUAAUCCCUGCUUUGGACAUGUUCUAUAUCUUGAUCAGUUUGUUGGUUACAUGGGCUAUGUGCAGUUUUCAAUAUUCAUCAAACUGUACACCUAAUGUGCAAUGUAUGUAAAUUUUAUCUUAAUUUAAAAUCGAUCUAUCUAAU